CUCGUAGGCGGCUCGUCGCGUCGACCGUGAAAACCGGCGGCUUAACUGUCGGCUUGCGGUUGAUACGGGCGUAGCUGGAGUUCGGUAGGGGAGACUGGAGUUCCUGGUGUAGCGGUGAAAUGCGUAGAUAUCGGGAGGAACACCUGUGGCGAAAGCGGCGCACUGGACCACAACUGACGCUGAGGCGCGAAAGCUAGGGGAGCAAACA
rnacentral:rRNA from 1 species